rnacentral:rRNA from 1 species
UACGUAGGGUGCAAGCGUUGUCCGGAAUUAUUGGGCGUAAAGAGCUCGUAGGCGGUCUGUUACGUCGGCUGUGAAAACCUGGGGCUCAACCCCGGGCCUGCAGCCGAUACGGGCAGACUAGAAUUCGGUAGGGGAGACUGGAAUUCCUGGUGUAGCGGUGAAAUGCGCAGAUAUCAGGAGGAACACCGGUGGCGAAGGCGGGUCUCUGGGCCGAUAUUGACGCUGAGGAGCGAAAGCCAGGGGAGCGAACGGG